CCGGGAACUCAAAGGAGACUGCCAGUGAUAAACUGGAGGAAGGUGGGGAUGACGUCAAGUCAUCAUGGCCCUUACGACCAGGGCUACACACGUGCUACAAUGGCGCAUACAAAGAGAAGCGACCUCGCGAGAGCAAGCGGACCUCAUAAAGUGCGUCGUAGUCCGGAUUGGAGUCUGCAACUCGACUCCAUGAAGUCGGAAUCGCUAGUAAUCGUGGAUCAGAAUGCCACGGUGAAUACGUUCCCGGGCCUUGUACACACCGCCCGUCACACCAUGGGAGUGGGUUGCAAAAGAAGUAGGUAGCUUAACCUUCGGGAGGGCGCUUACCACUUUGUGAUUCAUGACUGGGGUGAAGUCGUAACAAGGUAACCGUAGGGGAACCUGCGGUUGGAUCACCUCCUUA
rnacentral:rRNA from 1 species